AUGAACGCUGGCGGCGUGCUUAACACAUGCAAGUCGAACGAAGCACUUAAGACGGAUUCUUUCGGGAUGAAGACUUUUAUGACUGAGUGGCGGACGGGUGAGUAACGCGUGGGUAACCUGCCUCACACAGGGGGAUAGCAGUUGGAAACGGCUGAUAAUACCGCAUAAGCGCACAGUACCGCAUGGUACAGUGUGAAAAACUCCGGUGGUGUGAGAUGGACCCGCGUCUGAUUAGCUUGUUGGCAGGGUAACGGCCUACCAAGGCAACGAUCAGUAGCCGACCUGAGAGGGUGACCGGCCACAUUGGGACUGAGACACGGCCCAGACUCCUACGGGAGGCAGCAGUGGGGAAUAUUGCACAAUGGAGGAAACUCUGAUGCAGCGACGCCGCGUGAGUGAAGAAGUAAUUCGUUAUGUAAAGCUCUAUCAGCAGGGAAGAUAGUGACGGUACCUGACUAAGAAGCUCCGGCUAAAUACGUG
rnacentral:rRNA from 1 species